GGGCGGGGCUUGCGAGUAAGGGGAGUGUAAGGGAAUUUAAAGGGCUUCUCCUCCAGCCACCUUUCCGGUGCUGAGUCCCCACGGCAACAUCUCCUCCCCGAGUGAUCCUCAAGCAGCGGAUGGUUGUGUUUCCAACGCCAGAAAUAGGGGAGUGCUCAAAAUGCACAUGGAAGACAGGCUGGAUUUGACAGAAAGGAGGAGCCGGAGACCGGAAGAAGGCGCAAAAGGAACGCCGAGGGGCCACAAGAGGGUACCCGGAGUAAGGGAGAAAAAGCAGCAUUUGUGCCCAUCAGCCUUGAACAUAAAGACCCAGCCUCAGCCUGAAAAAGAGCCAACAAUGAGGCAGCCCCAGAAUCAGCCCUGCUGUUGAAGUCUGACGCAUUAACAACCCCGACAGGAAUUAAGAGGAAAGCAAAAGUAAAAGUGUGUGAAGAAACAGCCCAGCCACAUGCAUUGCUGGACGCAUCAUCAGCCGUGGGAACAUAAACUCCUGCUCGCUAGUAACAGUCAUCCAGAAAUUACACCACUGAAGCCACAUCUCCUUCCCUUAAAGAGCACUGUCAAGAGCACUUGUCACUUCAAAUCAAGGAAAGUACUUUCCCUGGCAAAUCCCAUCCCUGUGAAGCCAACCUUAUCUCUCACAUGCCUGAACCCCUAACCCCCUCCCCCCACCCCCACCCCCCCACCCCCCCCAGCCUUCACCGGGUUGCAAAUUCCAAGCCGGCCCAUUGCCUGGACCAUGGCUUCCCCACAUUUUCUCCUUUUCUCUUCCAGCUUGGUCUCAGAUGACUGGGCAGGGCUCUUUCCCCCCACCCCCACCGUACCUCCCCACAGAGGAGGAUGAGAUCACUUCUUCCUUCCACCUGAGGAAACGGAGGCCCACGGAGUUUUGCCACUUGUCUCAAGUCACACUUCUAGUAAGGGCCCCAGGGGACCCUGAACAGGAAUUGUGACCUGGCCUGUUUUGCAAGCCUCUGAGCUGUCUGCACAUCCUGCCCUUCACCAGCAGGGGGCUCCAUUGCUGCCUUGUCUUCCCUCUACCCACAGAGGUUCUCAGUAUGGAGGAGGAAGGGUGGGGGGAGGUGGUCCAAGCUCCCUGAGAAUUGUAGCAUCACUGGGGGAGGAGGAAAGGGGACCCAAUGGAUUUCCCAGAGGACUUCCUCCUACAGGGAAACCCCUCAUCACCACAGCCGUGAAGGCGAGGCCGCCAUGUGAAAAACUGUUGACCAAAAACCAUGGGGGAUUGCAGUGGUGUAAAAACACGUUCAGUGGAGCAGAUUGGAAAUGGGACUCUGGCUCUGCCAUUUGCCAGUUCUUGGUCUUGGGCCCAUGAAUGUCCCCGAGGCUCCCUUUCCUCAUCUAUAAAAUAGCUACAGUAAAUACCUACCUCAUCAAUUUGUUCUGAAGAUUCAAUCUGGUGAUGCGGGUCAAGCACGUGGUCCCAUGACUGCGGUUAUUUCAAGUACUUGAAAUCUGUUUUAUUUCGAGAAAAUGACUUGCCUUAGGUGGAGAGGUGAUUUUUUUUAACUUCAUUUUCUGCACUUUAAUGUAUUUAUUAAGUAAUGUGUU